CCUACGGGAGGCAGCAGUGAGGAAUAUUGGUCAAUGGGCGCGAGCCUGAACCAGCCAAGUCGCGUGAGGGAAGACGGUCCUAUGAAUUGUAAACCUCUUUUGUCGGGGAGCAAAAGAAGCCACGCGUGGCGUUCCGAGAGUACCCGAAGAAAAAGCAUCGGCUAACUCCGUGCCAGCAGCCGCGGUAAUACGGAGGAUGCGAGCGUUAUCCGGAUUUAUUGGGUUUAAAGGGUGCGCAGGCGGAAGAUCAAGUCAGCGGUAAAAUUGAGAGGCUCAACCUCUUCGAGCCGUUGAAACUGGUUGUCUUGAGUGAGCGAGAAGGAUGCGGAAUGUGUGGUGUAGCGGUGAAAUGCAUAGAUAUCACGCAGAACACCGAUUGCGAAGGCAGCAUACCGGCGCUCAACUGACGCUCAUGCACGAAAGUGUGGGGAUCGAACAGGAGUAGAUACCCGGGUAGUC
rnacentral:rRNA from 1 species